rnacentral:rRNA from 1 species
UACGUAGGGGGCAAGCGUUGUCCGGAAUUAUUGGGCGUAAAGCGCGUGUAGGCGGCUCGGUAAGUCUGCUGUGAAAGUCCAGGGCUCAACCCUGGAAUGCCGGUGGAUACUGUCGAGCUCGAGUCCGGAAGAGGCGAGUGGAAUUCCUGGUGUAGCGGUGAAAUGCGCAGAUAUCAGGAGGAACACCAAUGGCGAAGGGCAGCUCGCUGGGACGGUACUGACGCUGAGACGCGAAAGCGUGGGGAGCAA